rnacentral:tRNA from 1 species
CGGGGCGUAGCGUAGGCUGGUAGCGCGCUUGUUUCGGGUACAAGAGGUCGUGAGUUCGAAUCUCACCGCCCCGACCA